rnacentral:rRNA from 1 species
GUAGGGAAUAUUAGUAAUGGGCGAAAGCCUGAACUAGCGACACCGCGUGUGCGAAGAAGGCCUUCGGGUUGUAAAGCACUUUUAGAGAGGAUGAGGAAGGACGGUACUCUCUGAAUAAGUCUCGGCUAACUACGUGCCAGCAGCCGCGGUAACACGUAGGAGGCAAACGUUAUCCGGAUUUACUGGGCGUAAAGCGCGUGUAGGUGGUUCUGUAAGUAGGGCGUGAAAGCUCCCGGCUCAACUGGGAGAGGCCGUUCUAAACUGCAGAGCUAGAGGAUGGUAGAGGGAGGUGGAAUUCCGGGUGUAGCGGUGGAAUGCGCAGAUAUCCGGAGGAACACCAGUGGCGAAGGCGACCUCCUGGGCCACUCCUGACACUCAGACGCGAAAGCUAGGGUAGCAAACGGGAUUAGAAACCCCUGUAGUCC